GAAGAACCCGGAAAAACACACGGAUGUUGUAGAGCAGAUAGGCUAAUAUUGAAAGCAUGUAUGCCAUAAAAUCUUCUGAAACCAUGGCAUUGAAAAGGGAAUUUAUCUCCCUUUUAAACUCUUAAGGAGAAUGUUAGGAGUAAGAAGUCAGUCUGUCAGGAUGAUUUCUCCUUUGGUUUAUACAGAAGUUGAUAUUUUGUUGAAUUUUACAUGAUGAAGAAUGUCACAUUUGAAGAACCAUGAGUUUCGAUGGACCAAGAGUUGUAUGAGGAUGUUGAUUUAGGAUUUGGGACUUUUUUGUCCAUCAUGUUUGUGACCGAUACCUUGUACUCAUAGUCUUGGGGGGACUGUGUGUGACUUUAGAGAUCACAGCCCGCCGUCUCACCUCGUCCCAAUCCGGCAUUCAGACGGUUCCAGAAGCUCUUUCUGUAGGCGUAUCUCCUGGCCCUCUGGGCAGACUGGCUGCAGGGACCUUACCUUUAUAAACUCUACAACUUUACAACUUUCUGGAGUCUCAGAUCGACAUUCGUGUGUGGCCUUGCUUCUUGUGUGCUAUUUGCUCCUGUGGCCAGCUGGCUAUCGCAGUUUCUGGGACAGAGACAGACGUGUCUCCUCUUCUGACUGGCUUAUUCUGUCAUCUACAUUACAAAGCUGUCACAAGACUAUUUCAUACUAGGAUGUGUUUUAGGAGGCCUGUAAACUUUUUACCUACUUUUCUUUUAAUUAGAAAAGUUUUUGUAUUUCCAAAAUCCAAUCUUAUGCUAAUUGAAAGAAAACAAGUUGAUAAAAAAUUUAAUACGUAAUUUGUUAAUAACAUAAUGAAAUAUAUACAAGCAAUAUUUUGUAGCCAGAUCAUGUUUUUUACCAAUAAUGUAAAAAUGAAAAUGUAUUUGUUAAAGGUACAAAUAUGUUAA